CCAAGUUUUGCAGUGCCAGGGAGAGACCCAAGGUCUUUGCUCUGUCAUUUGUACAGAAAACCACCUGCCUUGCAGCAGGACUGCCUUGCAGCGGAUUGCUUUGUUGUUUAUGGUUGAACACGGUAAAACCUGCAGAACUGGAUGUGGCCUGAGCUGCUGAGGUGCCCCAAGGUUGGUACGAGUAGCAGAGAACAAAGCUGUGACGGGAUAAUCAGCAGGGCAAUAUGCGGAACGCUCUGGCUCUCGAGUUUGCAAGAAGGAAGAAGAAACUCGCACUGCUCUACUGGGAGCUGAAAGCCGAACACAAAACUCUGUACAGGACGGCGGACAAGAUGGUGGGAGAACGAUGAAUUAGGAAGCGUUCCGCAGUGUGACAUGUGCUAACAGGAAAGCAGUGUGGUUUUAUUUAUUUUCUGCCCGCCACCACUUGCCUACCCCAGGCCCUGUUUUCCCAACACAUUUCCCCCCUGUUUUUCUGAUUUAUUUGUCUUAUCCUUAAAAGCAAAUAUUCUCCUGAUCUAAGUAACUUUGGAAAGCGGUGUUGUCACUGAGUACUGGGAGACUAAGACCAAAAAAUAAAUAAAAACCUGCAAGAGACA
rnacentral:lncRNA from 1 species